AAAAUUUUUGGGUUAAUUGCGUACGGUUCUUUAUAAACACAUCGAAUAGCAGAUAUAUCUCUACAAAGUUUAAUUUUUCAUAUUUAUCUCUACAAAAGUCAUAAUAUUUUAAAUAUAUCUCUGCUAUUAGAAUCCGUUAGAAAAUAUAGUUAACUAUGGAUAAAAUACUUAACAUUGAUUAGUGAAUGAGAUAAAUUGACCUUUUUUUUCUCCUAUAUGAUUUGUGAUGGUACAAAAGAAGAAGAAGAAGAUGACCGUUAGAAAUUUUUUGCAUAAUUCUAAUAAUUGGGAUUUUUAGAGGGACAUAUUUGUGAUGGUAAAAAUAUCAUUUUACUUAUCUUUCGUUAAGAAAUAAAUAGUGCUCUAAGAUAACAAACCAGAGUGGUAAAUAUGAUGAAUAUCACUGAACUUUUAUAAGGAUAAAUAUGAAAAGUUCAACUCUGUAGGGAUAUGCUAUUCUAUAUAUUUACAGGGAGUUGUAAAU
rnacentral:lncRNA from 1 species